UACGUAGGGUGCAAGCGUUAAUCGGAAUUACUGGGCGUAAAGCGUGCGCAGGCGGUGAUGUAAGACAGAUGUGAAAUCCCCGGGCUUAACCUGGGAACUGCAUUUGUGACUGCAUCGCUGGAGUGCGGCAGAGGGGGAUGGAAUUCCGCGUGUAGCAGUGAAAUGCGUAGAUAUGCGGAGGAACACCGAUGGCGAAGGCGAUCCCCUGGGCCUGCACUGACGCUCAUGCACGAAAGCGUGGGGAGCAAACAGG
rnacentral:rRNA from 1 species